CACUACUCCCCUCGCCUGCCGCCGCCACCCACCUUCGCCGGCCUUGCCUCGCCUCCUGUAACCACGCCGCCGCCUCCCCGCCUGCUCUCGACCUGCUUCGCUGGCGCUCUGGCUAUCGGCGCCGCGCGGGACGAGCAGCGGUGGAGAGCCGCACGGCCGCGUAGUCCGUAGGAGCUGCCGCAGCGGUCCCGCCCUAAGAUCGGCGAACCGGGAGGCGAGCUCCCACAGAUAUCUAUCGAUCCCAGUAGGCUCAAUCCCGAGUACAAGCAGACGGGCGGUCUGAACUGAUGUCAUGUUGAUAUGUCUGCAUCAUCUGUGCUUACCCUUGUGGAUAGCAUCUGAGAGAAAACAAGAUCUUUCAUUUUCAACAAUAGGUUUUUGUUCUCUAAUUCUCAAAUUUGUGCCAUAGCUUGUAUUCUUCCUAGUAGUUAGAUGUGGUUCAGUUUCUUACUUGAGUCCAAGCUCCAAUACGAUGGGGACAAAGCGAUUGCGAUGGUUUACUUAUUAACCCUUUGCAGUGUUUGCCAUUGCUCUUGAGUCAAAUAUUCUGACCGAGAUUCUCAGUUUUGUACAAUCUUUAAAUUCUUUUGAUUCUUCCUGCUUGUAUAUCCUUAUACUAUCAAUGAAAAGUUCCAUGUGUGAAUAAAAUGAAACUCUGCUUAUUAUCUAAUGAUACCUUUUAUUAAUGCUGUCCAUUUGUCUCUGGUAUUUCCAUUGCAAAUUUUAUCAAUCUUCUUGUGCGGCAUCGGGUGGCAAAUGAGGUGAAAUAUUGUAUGCUAAACACUGAAUCUUUGAUAUGUUUACAAAACUCCGCUUAUUAUCUGAUGCCACAUCAGCUUUGAACCACAUUUUCUAGUUCUCUUUUCUGCACAGUUUCUUUAUCAUUCCUGUGAAUUUCAUUUUGUUGAUGGCAGUGAUUUGAAUCUUACCCGCGCUUCUGAUUAAUCCAUGAAGUACAAGGGAAAACAUGGUUGAAUUUCUUAAUAUGAGCCAUACAAUAGUAAAAUCUUGUUCUCUCUUCUAGAUUUUGUGUGUUCUUGUUUUACCAUGGCUGUGAUGAUUAACAGCUUCAGCAAACAUGCCAGUUCUGCUUCUGAGAAUUCAUGACUGAAAAAUCUGUUAACAAGAUCUGAGCCAUUUUGCACUUAGAAAAGUUAUUUUCUCCCAUUGUUGAUACCUGAAAAUUAAUGAUUAUUACCUUUCGUACAUUCUUUAUCUUGGUGUCUAGCAUGUAAUUUGUUCGGAGACUCCAUUUGAAUUGCCAAUGAUGCUACACCCAACAUUUGGAGGUGCAGAUGGCUCCAGGAUCCUGUUUACAGGAUGAACCUACCUGGAGGCGCUGUAUCCACAUGACAUUCAUGGGCAAGUCUGAGGUUCUUCAUGAUCACCUCAAACUUUUCUUGAUGUUUUCAAGUUGACUUGUGCUUUUUUACUUGGUAAAAUAAGUGGUUGUUUAUUUAUCUUUGUCGAGUUUAACUAUCCUCUCACCAAGUACCUCUGAUUUGCGGAAGAGGCUGAAAAACUCGCAGAUGGUGUGUUGUCAUCAGCUUCGUCUCUUGGUCCUACGAGAUGGGAGUUAAAUAACGACACCAGAUUAACUCGUUUACCGCCGAAUCAACUGUUCAGCAGAAGUAACAAACUCAUGUUUGACACAACUGAUGGAAUAAAAACCAGAAACAUAAAUAAAAAUCUCAUGGAAUUUUAAAAGCUGGGUGUACUAGUGCCCUGUUGAGUAGCUUUGUUUGUGGUAUCUAGCUUGAGCAGCAUAUUAUGGAUGAAGAAUAGUUUUAGCUUAAACCCAUUGUAGUCCUUAUUUCUUUUGAUUUGUGGCUUGUGGUUGAAACUAGUUCACUGUUAGUUUCAUCUGUGAUGGCCCAUAGGCCAAUAGCUAUGAGAUCCAAGGGAGUUGAUUUGGCUCUGCAACUCUUCUGUUAUAUUUUGAUAUAUAGUCACUGGAAUGUGGUUGGCCAUCGAUAUGUCAGACCUUCUGUUGUCUAGCGAGGUUUUCCUUCUCCACGUAAUAACAUUUUCAGAUUAGAAUAUAUUAGUUUGCUUUUGUAUUAUCCUCUUGAAUAAGACUUGUCAACACAUGGUCGCCUUUGAGAGAACCUGGUGGAUUUUGUCUUCCAUGCUGGUUCCGUUGCGGGCGCACACUGAUCUAGAGCCUCCACCGUGUCUCACCCUCCACAUCUGUUGCUGGGUGUCGGAUUGGUUCUUGAACAUUUUGAAUCUAAUCUUUGUUUUUUGUUGUACGGCUGCUGUUUUUCAUUUUUGUCCGUGGCCUUCAUAAUCCCGGAUUAACUUGCUUAGCUGUUCUUCUGAUUCAUGGGAGGCCAAGACCGAUGUCUGGGAGUUUCGCUGAUAGCGCCUUCUUUACUAGUGGAGGUGCUUCAUUAGUAACUCGCCACACAGAAAAAAUGAUAAAUUUUCUUUUGUUCUGUUUGUUCAUGUGUUGUUUGAUUCGGGGAGCUCUGUCCCAUUGUCUGGCCGCCAUUCUCUUGGUGGAUCCGAGUUUACAAAGCUCCCGAGAGGUAUUCAGGUGGCGCUUAGAGCACAAAUCCGUCUGAUGGAUCUUGGGUUACGCUCGCCCCCAAAUUCCAGUUUAAUCUUUUUUCAUGCUUUCUUUUGUCUUGUAUAAUUCAAGUUCUUGUUGCAUCACUUUAGCGUUUUGAACCUUUUGUGGUGCAGUGAUUAUAAAACAUUCCUCGUACUGAUGGGAGAUACCUGUGAAUGACUCCUAUACACCCAUAGAAUCUGAGCACCAACAAAUCAUACUUGUUUUAUUGGAUUCUUACUUUGUUUUCUUUUUAAUAAGCUGUUCAUUGUUAUGUUCAUCUGAUCCUUCUCUUUCAUUUCUGUGUUUUGAUUUUGUUCGUUUGUUUUGGAGCACGUAGUUGCGAUGAGGAUAACGAGCUCCCUCUUCUGAAAGCAUUGACGACACCGCUGGCAGAAUCGAACCAAUUAAAUAUUGCCACCACUGAUUAACUCUGUGUCUUUGUACAAUCUUGUCAGUUAUUGACCAUUUGCUUAUUCUUACCUUUCAGUCUGCAAAAUCUGUUUGGAUCAUGAGGAGUUAUUGAUGCAUAAUCCAACACUUGAUCCGAGGGUGGCUUGAGCCGCCCAUGUGAUGUCAUCUUUGCAUCUGAAUCCACCAGAGAUAUUUUUUUCCAUUUGGUCUAGUUCUUGUUUAUCUUGUCAGUAUCAGAGGAUGAAACCUUGAAACAAUCUUAGGACACCUUCUGACACAGUGCUUAUUUUCCUGUGAAUGAGAAGUAUUUAUAUUCUGAUGAUACACCCUGUUUCUUUGAAUUUUUUGCCCAAGGAUGUUUAGGGCCCUGUUUUCUAUCUAAAACGCAAUUGGAGCCUAUGAUGAUUAGCUUUAUGUUGGAAUUACCGUCAGAUUCCAAAUGAUGAUAUUUUUGCGGCUUUCUGAGGCUUUAAACAGCUUAGCUCCUCUACUUUUUUUUAUAUUGUUAAACUUUCUUGAUUCAGGUGAAGAUUCUCCGUAUGACACUAUAAACAACAGUUCCUUCUCUACUUCUAGUGUCCUCCUUUGGCCAUAACCUUUGCACUUGGUUUUUUUCAGCCGUGUGUGAUUUUAAAAAGGUCUAUCUUUGAUUGCUCUGUUUUUUUUUGCGUAGUAUCGCCUGUUGCUUCGUCUCUGUUUGCUAUAAACAGUAGCUGAAUAUGCUACGCUUUUGUUUCGCAUCUUGAUAAGAGACUCUACAAUUCUGGUACUAGAAUAUAAUGUCUGUGCUUGAUGAAGACAAACAUGUUAGGUUCCAACUUAAGAUACAAGUCGGCGAUGACUGUAACUGUCCCCAAGAGACUUCUUUGUUACUCCCUCCGUUCGGAAUUACUUGUCGCAAAAAUGGAUGUAUCUAGACAUAUUUUAGUUCUAGAUACAUUGAUUUUCGAGACAAGUAAUUCCGAACGGAGGGAGUAGUAGUAAGCUUACGCUCCUCUGUUUUCUUUGAUACUUUUGAACCUAAAAAUUCGUUCAGUCGGCUGUAGAUUUUUAAAUCACAGGUUUGUGGAGAGUAUACACUUUUUUGCCCCAUUAAUAGAAGCAUGCUCCUCGCUCAUUUAUUGUACUCCUGUUACUCUUGUCUGAUUUCGAGAUUUGUAAACAUGGCUGUGUUCAUCCAUA